ACGUAGUCCAAACUUGUAUAUACAAUUUUUCAUUUAGUAUCAAUGCCUUGUAAAUAAUGUGAGCAAAUUAGCAUUGUCUAGUCUGGCCCGUCAUUCAUGUACAAUAUUACUAGGACUGACCCAUCCCAAUAACAACGUGUAUAUAUAUGUUAAAGCCCAUUACUUGAACAGAUUUGAAAGAUUUUUUCAGAAAGUUGAAAAGAUUUUCUCUCUCUUCUUUCAGUUUUCUCUUAAAUGAACUAGGGUUUUUCUUCGAUUGUUCCAUCGAUUUCUGCUCAAUCUCAACUUCAAUAUGGUAUCAGAGCAGGUUUUCUGGUAGCUCUACGGCGGCGCUUUCGACCGAUAUUACCCUUGUACGGAGUUUUUUGUUUUUCAGUGAAGGAAGAUUCUACCUUGGUGAUGUUUUUGUUGAACAAGUCCUCAUCUUCUUCAGGUUUAAGAAGAAGAAUGUCAGGAAGCUCUCCACAUAGCUCGGAAUUCAGUUUUUCCUGAAUGCACCAAGCAUAUCGAGAUUGAUUGCCAUUAUGUUCGUGAAUGUCUUACUGUCGGGCUUGUUUCUCUCCACUUCGUUCCUUCUGCUGCUCAGCUAGCUGAUGUCUUCACCAAAUCGCUUCCUGGCCCUGCUCAUCAUGCCAUUCUCAGCAAGCUUGGCGUGUGCACACCCUCCAUGUUGAGGGGGGCUGUUGGAUUAACGUAGUCCAAACUUGUAUAUACAAUUUUUCAUUUAGUAUCAAUGCCUUGUAAAUAAUUUGAGCAAAUUAGCAUUGUAUAGUCUGGGCCCGUCAUUCAUGUACAAUAUUAAUAGGACUGAUUCAUCCCAAUAACAAUGUGUAUAUAUAUGUUAAAGCCCAUUACUUGAAUAGAUUUGGAAAGAUUUUUUCAGAAA